rnacentral:rRNA from 1 species
UACGUAGGGUCCGAGCGUUGUCCGGAAUUACUGGGCGUAAAGAGCUCGUAGGUGGUUUGUCGCGUUGUUCGUGAAAACUCACAGCUCAACUGUAGGCGUGCGGGCGAUACGGGCAGACUAGAGUACUGCAGGGGAGACUGGAAUUCCUGGUGUAGCGGUGGAAUGCGCAGAUAUCAGGAGGAACACCGGUGGCGAAGGCGGGUCUCUGGGCAGUAACUGACGCUGAGGAGCGAAAGCGUGGGGAGCGAACAGG